rnacentral:siRNA from 1 species
GCCCAUUGACCGCUGUGCCUUCAU